rnacentral:rRNA from 1 species
GGGGAAUAUUGGGCAAUGGGCGAAAGCCUGACCCAGCAACGCCGCGUGAGGGAAGAAGGCCUUCGGGUUGUAAACCUCUGUCCUUGGUGACGAAAAAAAUGACGGUAGCCAAGGAGGAAGCCCCGGCUAACUACGUGCCAGCAGCCGCGGUAAUACGUAGGGGGCGAGCGUUGUCCGGAAUUACUGGGCGUAAAGGGUGCGUAGGUGGCCUUUUAAGUUGGAUGUGAAAUACCCGGGCUUAACUUGGGGGGUGCAUCUAAUACUGGAGGGCUAGAGUGCAGGAGAGGGAAGCGGAAUUCCUAGUGUAGCGGUGAAAUGCUUAGAUAUCACGAAGAACUCCAAUUGCGAAGGCAGCUCACUGGAGUGUAACUGACGCUGAUGCUCGAAAGUGUGGGUAUCAAACA